rnacentral:rRNA from 1 species
UGGGGAAUAUUGGACAAUGGGCGCAAGCCUGAUCCAGCCAUGCCGCGUGAGUGAUGAAGGCCCUAGGGGUGUAAAGCUCUUUCACCGGUGAAGAUAAUGACGGUAACCGGAGAAGAAGCCCCGGCUAACUUCGUGCCAGCAGCCGCGGUAAUACGAAGGGGGCUAGCGUUGUUCGGAUUUACUGGGCGUAGAGCGCACGUAGGCGGACUAUUAAGUCAGGGGUGAAAUCCCGGGGCUCAACCCCGGAACUGCCUUUGAUACUGGUAGUCUUGAGUUCGAGAGAGGUGAGUGGAAUUCCGAGUGUAGAGGUGAAAUGCGUAGAUAUUCGGAGGAACACCAGUGGCGAAGGCGGCUCACUGGCUAGAUACUGACGCUGAGGUGCGAAAGCGUGGGGAGCAAACAGG